UACGGAGGGGGCUAGCGUUGUUCGGAAUUACUGGGCGUAAAGCGCACGUAGGCGGCUUUGUAAGUUAGAGGUGAAAGCCCGGGGCUCAACUCCGGAAUUGCCUUUAAGACUGCAUCGCUAGAAUUGUGGAGAGGUAAGUGGAAUUCCGAGUGUAGAGGUGAAAUUCGUAGAUAUUCGGAAGAACACCAGUGGCGAAGGCAGCGAAUUGGCGCUAUAUUGACGCUCAGGCACGAAAGCAUGGGGAUCAAACAGG
rnacentral:rRNA from 1 species